GACUACAUGAAGCCGGAAUCGCUAGUAAUCGCGGAUCAGAAUGCCGCGGUGAAUACGUUCCCGGGUCUUGUACACACCGCCCGUCACACCAUGGGAGUUGGAAAUGCCCGAAGUCAGUGGCCCAACCGGAAGGGGGAGCUGCCGAAGGCAGGUUCGAUGACUGGGGUGAAGUCGUAACAAGGUAAC
rnacentral:rRNA from 1 species